GGCUAUGGCGGGCGGAGCGUGGAGGCCUUGCGCCUGCCGGUCUUGUUCGUGAUCUCCCGGUUUUCGAGCCACGUCUCCGCCCGCCACCUUU
rnacentral:antisense_RNA from 2 species